rnacentral:tRNA from 1 species
GGGGCUGUAGCUCAGUGGUGGAGUACUUGCCUGGCACGCACGCACGUAUGAGGCACUGGGUUCAAUUCUCAGUGCCACA